rnacentral:rRNA from 1 species
CACAUGCAAGUCGAACGGCAGCGCGGGGCAACCUGGCGGCGAGUGGCGAACGGGUGAGUAAUAUAUCGGAACGUACCCUGGAGUGGGGGAUAACGUAGCGAAAGUUACGCUAAUACCGCAUACGAUCCAAGGAUGAAAGCAGGGGACCGCAAGGCCUUGUGCUCCUGGAGCGGCCGAUAUCUGAUUAGCUAGUUGGUAGGGUAAAAGCCUACCAAGGCAUCGAUCAGUAGCUGGUCUGAGAGGACGACCAGCCAC